UACGGAGGGUGCGAGCGUUGUUCGGAAUCACUGGGCGUAAAGCGCGUGUAGGCGGCUUCGUAAGUCUGGUGUGAAAGCCCGGGGCUCACCCCCGGAAGUGCACUGGAAACUGCGAGACUUGAGUACCGGAGAGGAAAGUGGAAUUCCUGGUGUAGCGGUGAAAUGCGUAGAUAUCAGGAGGAACACCGGUGGCGAAGGCGGCUUUCUGGACGGAUACUGACGCUGAGACGCGAAAGCGUGGGGAGCAAACAGG
rnacentral:rRNA from 1 species